rnacentral:rRNA from 1 species
AGAGUUUGAUCCUGGCUCAGGAUGAACGCUGGCGGCGUGCCUAACACAUGCAAGUCGAACGGACUUUUCAUGAAGCCUAGCGAUUGAAAAGUUAGUGGCGGACGGGUGAGUAACGCGUGGGUAACCUGCCUUGUACUGGGGGACAACAGUUGGAAACGACUGCUAAUACCGCAUAAGCGCACAGCUUCGCAUGAAGCAGUGUGAAAAACUCCGGUGGUACAAGAUGGACCCGCGUCUGAUUAGCUGGUUGGUGAGGUAACGGCCCACCAAGGCGACGAUCAGUAGCCGGCCUGAGAGGGUGAACGGCCACAUUGGGACUGAGACACGGCCCAAACUCCUACGGGAGGCAGCAGUGGGGAAUAUUGCACAAUGGGGGAAACCCUGAUGCAGCGACGCCGCGUGAGUGAUGAAGUAUUUCGGUAUGUAAAGCUCUAUCAGCAGGGAAGAUAAUGACGGUACCUGACUAAGAAGCACCGGCUAAAUACGUGCCAGCAGCCGCGGUAAUACGUAUGGUGCAAGCGUUAUCCGGAUUUACUGGGUGUAAAGGGUGCGUAGGUGGCAAGGCAAGUCUGAAGUGAAAAUCCGGGGCUCAACCCCGGAACUGCUUUGGAAACUGUUUAGCUGGAGUACAGGAGAGGUAAGUGGAAUUCCUAGUGUAGCGGUGAAAUGCGUAGAUAUUAGGAGGAACACCAGUGGCGAAGGCGACUUACUGGACUGCUACUGACACUGAGGCACGAAAGCGUGGGGAGCAAACAGGAUUAGAUACCCUGGUAGUCCACGC